UGUAGAUCAGUUUUUAAUGUUGUUUGGUUGCCUUUCUAUAGUGUUGACAGACUCACUGUAGAUUAGUUUUUUUUAAUGUUUUUUGGUUGCCUUUCUAUAGUGUUGACAGACUCACUGUAGAUUAGUUUUUUAAUGUUGUUUUGGUUGCUUCUAUAGUGUUGACAGACUCACUGUAGAUCAGUUUUUUAAUGUUUUUGGUUGCCUUUCUAUAGUGUUGACAGACUCACUGUAGAUAGUGUUUGUUUACUUUUAUGUUUUUGGUUGCCUUUCUAUAGUGUUGACAGAUCACUGUAGAUUAGUUUUUUAUGUUGUUUUGGUUUUUUCUUUGUUAACUGUGUUAAGUUGUUUGGUUGCCUUUCUAUAGUGUUGACAGACUCACUGUAGAUAGUUUUUAAUGUUGUUGGUUGCCUUCUAUAGUGUUGACAGACUACUGUAGAUUAGUUUUUUAUAGUGUUGACAGCAUGUAGAUUAGUUUUUUAAUGUUGUUUGUUGCCUUUUAUAGUGUUGACAGACUCACUGUAGAUUAGUUUUUUAAUGUUGUUUGGUUGCCUUUCUAUAGUGUUGACAGACUCACUGUAGAUAAGUUUUUUUUAAUGUUUUUUGGUUGCCUUUCUAUAGUGUUAAAAGACCAUGUAGAUUAAUAUUAUCAGUUUUUUAAUGUUGUUGGUUGCCUUUCUAUAGUGUUGACAGACGUCACUGUAGAUCAGUUUUUAAUGUUGUUUGGUUGCCUUUCUAUAGUGUUGACAACUCACUGUAGCUUUUUUUUAAUGUUUUUUGGUUGCCUUUUCUAUAGUGUUGACAGACUCACUGGUAGAUUAGUUUUUUAUGUUUUUGGUUGCCUUUCUAUAGUUGACAGACUCACUGUAAUGUUUUUUAAUGUUGUUUGGUUGCCUUUCUAUAGUGUUGACAGACUCACUGUAGAUCAGUUUUUUAAUGUUGUUUGGUUGCCUUUCUAUAGUGUUGACAGACUCACUGUAGAUUAGUUUUUUUAAUGUUUUUUGGUUGCCUUUCUAUAGUGUUGACAGACUCACUGUAGAUUAAUUUUUUAAUGUUGUUUGGUUGCCUUUCUAUAGUGUUGACAGACUCACUGUAGAUUAGUUUUUUUUAAUGUUGUUUGGUUGCCUUUCUAUAGUGUUGACAGACUCACUGUAGAUUAGUUUUUUAAUGUUGUUUGGUUGCCUUUCUAUAGUGUUGACAGACUCACUGUAGAUUAGUUUUUUAAUGUUGUUUGGUUGCCUUUCUAUAGUGUUGACAGACUUA
rnacentral:lncRNA from 1 species